GAACGAUGUCCUCCACCAGCCACGAGAUCAUUCCUGUCUCUGAAGGCGAGCGAGAGGAACGCAAGCAUUCACAGUGUCUCACAAGAAGGAGCCGAAAUGAGUACUGACGGACGCGCAGCCGGAACGGGAGAUGUCCAGCAACCGGGUGGUCAACUGCAGCUGGAACAGGACACACGCGUAGAAGAAG